GCCCAGGAGGCUUCUUGUGGCUCGGAAGUUGCCCUGGACACCUGCUUCCUUCAUCCCAGAGGAGGACUAGACCUGUCCAUGGUCCCUCCUACCUGACCCCUGAAAAAAACACUGGUGCUACAGACCACGAACCAAGUACCUUAGUGCAGGAGCAACUCACAUGAAGUCAGGAACUUUCGUCUGAGCAGCAGCUGGAGCAAAUGUGUAGUCCGCAUGAAAUGUGUCUUGUCUGGCUGGCAUAAAAUAAAGCUGGUGAUGAAAGCUGAAUGACAACUUCUGUUGUCUCU